UCCAAUAGCGUAUAUUAAAGUUGUUGCAGUUAAAAAGCUCGUAGUUGAAUUUCGGGGUCAGUAGGUCGGUCGUGCCACUGGUAUGAACUGGUUUCACUGAUUCCUCCCUCUUGUAGAACCGUGAUGCCAUUAAUUUGGUGUUGCGGGGAAACAGGACUGUUACUUUGAAAAAAUUAGAGUGUUUAAAGCGAGCUAACGCUUGAACACAUUAGCAUGGAAUAAUGAAAUAGGACGUCUGUCUUAUUUUGUCGGUUUCUAGGAUGGACGUAAUGAUUAAUAGGGAUAGUUGGGGGCAUUAGUAUUCAAUUGUCAGAGGUGAAAUUCUUGGAUUUAUUGAAGACUAGCUACUGCGAAAGCAUUUGCCAAGGAUGUUUUCAUUAAUCAAGAACGAAAGUUAGGGGAUCGAAGACGAUCAGAUACCGUCGUAGUCUUAACCAUAAACUAUGCCGACUAGGGAUCGGAUGAUGUUAAUUUUUUAAUGACUCAUUCGGCGCCUUACGGGAAAC
rnacentral:rRNA from 1 species